AGUGAACGCUGGCGGCAGGCCUAACACAUGCAAGUCGAACGGCAGCACAGGGGAGCUUGCUCCCUGGGUGGCGAGUGGCGGACGGGUGAGGAAUACAUCGGAAUCUACCCUGUCGUGGGGGAUAACGUAGGGAAACUUACGCUAAUACCGCAUACGUCCUCCGGGUGAAAGCAGGGGAUCGCAAGACCUUGCGCGAUUGGAUGAGCCGAUGUCCGAUUAGCUAGUUGGCGGGGUAAAGGCCCACCAAGGCGACGAUCGGUAGCUGGUCUGAGAGGAUGAUCAGCCACACUGGAACUGAGACACGGUCCAGACUCCUACGGGAGGCAGCAGUGGGGAAUAUUGGACAAUGGGCGAAAGCCUGAUCCAGCCAUGCCGCGUGGGUGAAGAAGGCCUUCGGGUUGUAAAGCCCUUUUGUUGGGAAAGAAAGCUUUCCGGUUAAUACCCGGAGAGAAUGACGGUACCCAAAGAAUAAGCACCGGCUAACUUCGUG
rnacentral:rRNA from 1 species